GUUUAGAUAGCUUAAUCAUAAAGCAUAGCACUGAAAAUGCUAAGAUGAACCCUAAAAAGUUCUCCAAACA
rnacentral:tRNA from 1 species